GGCUCAAAGGAUCCUCCUGCUUCAUCCUCCCCAGACAGCUGGGACCACAGAACUACUUGGUUACAGAAUACUUUGAUCCUGGUCCUUCUGUGACUGCUCCCUGAUGGAAUAUUUGAACAACAUCCCAACACUGAAUUAAGAUGAAGGUAUGCUGUAAUGUCUUACAUGAAAAAUAACAUCAGAUCAAGGUCUUUCUUUUUAAAAAAUUUUGUACUGCUCAUACCAUAUGGGGAAAUGGGCCUGCCCUCAAGUAACUGCUUCUUUUGAAUCUUUUCAGUAGCUCAGACUUGAACUCAUGCAUGAGUUCUUUGUAAGGCUAAAAGAACAUGGCCUCUAAGUACCAAAUUAGUCAUUCACACGAGCCAAGUAAUCAACUAAGAAUCCAUGGUACAUUCCUUGGACUAGCUGCAAGCCUACAGUCCAAAGAUCAUCCAUCUCUAACUCAGGAAAGGUCAAAAGGUACUUAAUACCUGCUCCAUAGUUUUAGAAGUAACUUAAGUCAUGAAAUAAAAGUUGCUCGUGAGUCUUCUGGAUGUAUGUCAGCAAUUCAGUUAAUUCGCCAAAGAAGAAAAAAAAAAAGAUGUAAAUAUUUACUUUCAUUAACUCUAUACUCAGUAAUUUUACAGCAAAGAACAUAAUAAGAGGUGUUCACACAAAAUGGAGAUUAAUGCAGUUAACACUGAAAGGUUUAUACUAAGGUACAAAAACAAGUGCUUGACUUAGAAAUUCAACUUUAUUUACAAAUGUUCUCCUAUAAACAAAGAUGCCAUUCUACCCCUUUAAAAUAUUGUAACUGAUUAACUUCCAUAAAAACCAUUUACAUAAUUUCAACCUUUCUGCAUAAAUCUGUAUUAUGAGAUGGGCAAACAACCUCACAAAAUGGUCUGAGACAUAAAAACAAAAGACAACCUAUCCAGCAUGAAUGUCCUAUUGAUAAACUUAAUGAAGAAUUAAGAAUCACACUCCACAAUGUGCUACUCCACCAAGAAACAGAAAUGUAAUGAUUUUUUUGAAGGUAAAUGCUUCACAAUAAACAGUUUUCUUGGGUA